UGCCAGCAGCCGCGGUAAUACGGAGGGUGCAAGCGUUAUCCGGAAUCACUGGGUUUAAAGGGUGCGUAGGCGGCGUUAUAAGUCAGAGGUGAAAGCUUGCAGCUUAACUGUAAAAUUGCCUCUGAUACUGUAGUGCUUGAAUCACGUUGAGGUCGGCGGAAUGUGACAUGUAGCGGUGAAAUGCAUAGAUAUGUCAUAGAACACCAAUUGCGAAGGCAGCUGACUGGGCGUGUAUUGACGCUGAGGCACGAAAGCGUGGGUAGCGAACAGGAUUAGAUA
rnacentral:rRNA from 1 species